GAUGAAGAACGCAGCGAAAUGCGAUACUUGGUGUGAAUUGCAGAAUCCCGUGAACCAUCGAGUCUUUGAACGCAAGUUGCGCCCGAAGCCAUUAGGCCGAGGGCACGCCUGCCUGGGCGUCACACGUCGUUGCCCCCCCAUCUACUCCUUCGGGAUUGCGGGGGGCGGAUGAUGGCCUCUCGUGCGCCUCGUCGCGCGGUUGGCCUAAAUGCCAAGUCCUCGGCGACGCACGCCACGACAAUCGGUGGUUGCGAAACCUCGGUUGCCUGUCGUGUGCGGUCGUCGCGCAUCGAGGGCUCGAAAAAAUUGCCGGGCUUCGGCUCGACUUUCAACGCGACCCCAGGUCAGGCGGGGUUACCCGCUGAAUUUAAGCAUAUCAAUAACGGAGGA
rnacentral:misc_RNA from 1 species